rnacentral:rRNA from 1 species
ACGAAUUCAUCUGAAAGGAUGGAGUGCCUUCGGGAGCGUGGAGACAGGUGGUGCAUGGUUGUCGUCAGCUCGUGUCGUGAGAUGUUGGGUUAAGUCCCGCAACGAGCGCAACCCUCGCUAUUAGUUGCUAACAGGUAGAGCUGAGCACUCUAAUGGGACUGCCGGUGACAAGCCGGAGGAAGGUGGGGAUGACGUCAAAUCAUCAUGCCCUUUAUGACCUGGGCUACACACGUGCUACAAUGGAUGGUACAGAGAGCAGCGAGGCAGCGAUGUGGAGCGAAUCUCAAAAAGACCAUUCUCAGUUCGGAUUGGAGUCUGCAACUCGACUCCAUGAAGUCGGAAUCGCUAGUAAUCGCGAAUCAGCAUGUCGCGGUGAAUGCGUUCCCGGGCCUU